UACGUAGGGGGCGAGCGUUAAUCGGAAUUACUGGGCGUAAAGCGUGCGCAGGCGGUUUUGUAAGCCAGAUGUGAAAUCCCCGGGCUCAACCUGGGAAUUGCGUUGGAGACUGCAAGGCUGGAGUCUGGCAGAGGGGGGUAGAAUUCCACGUGUAGCAGUGAAAUGCGUAGAGAUGUGGAGGAACACCGAUGGCGAAGGCAGCCCCCUGGGUCAAGACUGACGCUCAUGCACGAAAGCGUGGGGAGCAAACAGG
rnacentral:rRNA from 1 species